rnacentral:rRNA from 1 species
CAGUUUUUAUCCUCUUUUUGAAAUGAGCUAAUUUUGUACGAAAGGACUUUUUCGCUAAAGCAAUGCUUUGUCACAAAUCUGUGGUUGCAUAAAUAAUAGUGUAUAAUAGGUUGAUUAGCCUAUAGGAAGGGUUA